rnacentral:rRNA from 1 species
UACGGAGGGUGCAAACGUUGCUCGGAAUCAUUGGGCGUAAAGCGCACGUAGGCGGCCUGAUAAGUCGGGUGUGAAAGCCCUGGGCUCAACCCAGGAAGUGCACUCGAAACUGUCAGGCUUGAAUAUGGAAGAGGGUCGCGGAAUUCCCCGGUGUAGAGGUGAAAUUCGUAGAUAUCGGGAGGAACACCAGUGGCGAAGGCGGCACUCUGGGACGGUACUGACGCUGAGACGCGAAAGCGUGGGGAGCGAACAGG